GGGAGGAGGGGGGAGGAUCAGAGAACGGGAAGGAGAGGAGAGGGGAAGUGAGAGAGGCGCUGCUGGUGGUGACCACAGCCACUGUCACCGCUGACCUUCAGGGGAAAAUGAGAGUGAGAGAGAGAGACGCACAGAACGCGCGACGCGAGGAAGAGAAGGAGCUCGUCUUCGUUGCCGCCGUCGCCGCGCUUUGCCGCCGCUGCCGUUGUUGGAAGCCGCCGCUAUCGCUGGAAGGAACCAAAUAAGGAUAAGAGGUCGCUGUUGAUGCUACCGCAGAGAGGAAGGAAGGGACGCGUGUGAGAAAGUGACGCAACAGAGGAGGAACCGUUCCUCUGCCGCCGGAAUUCCUGGUCGCCGUCGUCGUUCACGGAUGUUGCUGUAUUAAUUGCUUUCCUGAUUUUUGUCGUGUUCCACGAGCGUUGAACCACUGUAACUAUGAAGCUGUGUUUGAUGGUGUUGUUGCUGAGGAAGUUGUCAGUGUGGCUAAUGCCGCUGCUAUUUGUUCGGCUCAAGACUGUUGCUGCUGCUGCGAGUUAGGACGAAGGGGUCAGGCUUAAUUUCUGUGGAUUUCGACACAUUGAGAUUUUAUUCAUGAGGCAAGGAAUUCUGAGAGAGCAGCCAAAAACUUGAGAAACAACAAAUUGAUCAGGGUUCCUCAUGUAUUCUGGGAUUUGACUAACAGGCAAGUCCUAACAAUGCAGUUUUAUACAGGGCGAAAGGAGGACAUGAUGUGAAGAAAAUAUGUUCUAUACAAAUAUAAGAUGGGAUGGGUCUUAUAAUGAUUUAUGGGUCUUAUAAUGAUUUUGGUUAUCCAACUGUAUUAUUUUGAUGUGUUCUUUACAUUUUGAUAAGAGACUUUAUCCGAUAUUACAUGUAAUGGAUAAAUUACACCCUAUUUUGAUUAGUAUUGUAAUGGAU